rnacentral:rRNA from 1 species
AUGACACUACGGGGCAGCUACAGUCUACAAACGACACAGCAGCCUAAACAGUGGCCAGCAGAGCACUCCCAGCCAUCGGUCCCAUUCGGUCCAUUCGGGCUGACCGAGCUUUUGCUGCUUCGGUCCGGUCCUAGAAAACAGGCUCGCUCGCGGCCGGUCCAAAGGCUGGCUCGGUCAAAGCCCGGACCGGACCACGUCCACCCUGAGCCCGAGCUAUGGCGCCGCAUCAACAUGCUUGGCCAUCCCGACCUCUCCCGCAAGUUCAACCUCCACGGGAUGGCGCAUGCCGCCGUCCGCCGCAGCGCGGGAAGGUGUGAGGCAUUCUGGUGCGAGCACGCCGGCGGCCACGACUUCCUCCUCCGCCUCGCCGACCAGUGA